GGUGAUGGUCACCUUCACCGUUCCUGAAAAAGAAACAUCAAUUUCUGAGGACGAAAUAGAAAUCGUUGGCUCCUCUUGACAUAUAAUACGACCAGGCAUAGUCAUAGUCGACGUGAGAAAGAGUGAGAACAAUAUGUUCUCCAAACGUCAACUUGACGAAGUCGGUUAAAUGAUAUCUGUAUCUUGUCGAUCCGAGUGCGAUAAUAAAGCAUGAAAAAUGUACAUAUAGUAGGUGUCGUGUAAAAAAAAAAUUAGAAAAAAGUGCAAAGAACACAUUCAAUGUCACCAUAACGAAAUAUCUACAAGAAAACAUUCCAGAAUUCCUCCUCAAUUUUCAAGUUUCGCUUUUAAGAGGAGACAAGAAUGUGUCAAAAUCGUGUUACACUUUAAUCCUUCAUAAGCAAAA